rnacentral:tRNA from 1 species
CCUCUUUGAGAAAUUAAUAUAAUACUGAGGUAUUAUUAGAGCUUAGACCCUCCUCAAAGCUGU